rnacentral:lncRNA from 1 species
AGGAUGAGAAUGAAUCGCCUUUCCCUGAUAUUCCAAAAGUUUCUGAACUUAUUGCCAAAGAAGAUGUAGACUUCCUGCCCUACAUGAGCUGGCAGGGGGAGCCCCAAGAAGCCGUCAGGAACCAGUCUCUUUUAGCAUCCUCUGAGUGGCCAGAAUUACGUUUAUCCAAACGAAAACGUAGGAAAAUUCCAUUUUCCAAAAGAAAAAUGGAAUUAUCUCAGCCAGAAGUUUCUGAAGAUUUUGAAGAGGAUGCCUUAGGUGUACUACCAGCUUUCACAUCAAAUUUGGAACGUGGAGGUGUGGAAAAGCUAUUGGAUUUAAGUUGGACAGAGUCAUGUAAACCAACAGCAACUGAACCACUAUUUAAGAAAGUCAGUCCAUGGGAAACAUCUACUUCUAGCUUUUUUCCUAUUUUGGCUCCGGCCGUUGGUUCCUAUCUUCCCCCGACUGCCCGCGCUCACAGUCCUGCUUCCUUGUCUUUUGCCUCAUAUCGUCAGGUAGCUAGUUUCGGUUCAGCUGCUCCUCCCAGACAGUUUGAUGCAUCUCAAUUCAGCCAAGGCCCUGUGCCUGGCAGUUGUGCUGACUGGAUCCCACAGUCGGCGUCUUGUCCCACAGGACCUCCCCAGAACCCACCUUCUGCACCCUAUUGUGGCAUUGUUUUUUCAGGGAGCUCAUUAAGCUCUGCACAGUCUGCUCCACCGCAACCUGCUGGAGGCCAUAUGACCAGGCCUUCUGCUGGCACCUUCCCUGAGCUGGAUUCUCCCCAGCUUCAUUUCUCUGUUCCUACAGACCCUGAUCCCAUUAGAGGUUUUGGGUCUUAUCAUCCCUCUGCUUCUUCUCCUUUUCAUUUUCAACCUUCCGCAGCCUCUUUGACUGCCAACCUUAGGCUGCCAAUGGCCUCUGCCUUACCUGAGGCUCUUUGCAGUCAGUCCCGGACUACCCCACUAGAUCUCUGUCUUCUAGAAGAAUCAGUAGGCAGUCUCGAAGGAAGUCGAUGUCCUGUCUUUGCUUUUCAAAGUUCUGACACAGAAAGUGAUGAGCUAUCAGAAGUACUUCAAGACAGCUGCUUUUUACAAAUAAAAUGUGAUACAAAAGAUGACAGUAUCCUGUGCUUUCUGGAAGUAAAAGAAGAGGAUGAAAUAGUGUGCACACAACACUGGCAGGAUGCUGUGCCUUGGACAGAACUCCUCAGUCUACAGACAGAGGAUGGCUUCUGGAAACUUACACCAGAACUGGGACUUAUAUUAAAUCUUAAUACAAAUGGUUUGCACAGCUUUCUUAAACAAAAAGGCAUUCAAUCUCUAGGUGUAAAAGGAAGAGAACGUCUCCUGGACAUAAUUGCCACAAUGCUGGUACUACAGUUUAUUCGCACCAGGUUGGAAAAAGAGGGAAUAGUGUUCAAAUCACUGAUGAAAAUGGAUGACCCUUCUAUUUCCAGGAAUAUUCCCUGGGCUUUUGAGGCAAUAAAGCAAGCAAGUGAAUGGGUAAGAAGAACUGAAGGACAGUACCCAUCUAUCUGCCCACGGCUUGAACUGGGGAAAGACUGGGACUCUGCCACCAAGCAGUUGCUGGGACUCCAGCCCAUAAGCACUGUGUCCCCUCUUCAUAGAGUCCUCCAUUACAGUCAAGGCUAAGUCAAAUGAAACUGAAUUUUAAACUUUUUGCAUGCUUCUAUGUAGAAAAUAAUAAAAUGAUAAUAGAUACUUAUAAUGAAACUUCAUUAAGGUUUCAUUCAGUGUAGCAAUUACUGUCUUUAAAAAUUAAGUGGAAGAAGAAAUACUUUAAUCAAC